ensembl:lncRNA
CUCCUGUACUGCAGACUUCACAUGUGGAUGCAGUGUACCAGGCCUGGAUUUCCCAGCUGAGAGGAUAUUGCUGGCACAGAAUGUUCUGUCAAAAGUCGGAUCAGAUUCUGCUGCUCAGUAACCUGCUUCAGGCACCAUCAGCCAAGUAGUGUUGGGGCACUGGAACAGAAUCCUCACUGCAGUGGUCAUGGCAUGAAGCCUGCUGGAGUUCAAGAAGCAUUUAGACAAAUGUUUCAGAAAUAUGGCUUGUAUUUUGGAUGGUCCUAAAAUCUAGCUGAACUAGAUCAUUGGAUCUUUCUGGGUCCCUUCCAACACAAGAUAUUCUAUGGUUCUAUGAUUUUUCCCAUUGUAUGAAUAAUUACACUUGAGUACAGCAGAGUUAAGUAACUCUUUGGAAAAUAAUCUGUUAUAGGUCAGUACUGAAUUCUGAGAAA